GUGAAGAACGCAGCGAAAUGCGAUAAGUAAUGUGAAUUGCAGAAUUCAGUGAAUCAUCGAAUCUUUGAACGCACAUUGCGCCCGCCAGUAUUCUGGCGGGCAUGCCUGUUCGAGCGUCAUUACAACCCUCAGGCCCCCGGGCCUGGCGUUGGGGAUCGGCAGAAGCCCCCUGUGGGCACACGCCGUCCCUCAAAUACAGUGGCGGUCCCGCCGCAGCUUCCAUUGCGUAGUAGCUAACACCUCGCAACUGGAGAGCGGCGCGGCCAUGCCGUAAAACACCCAACUUCUGAAUGUUGACCUCGAAUCAGGUAGGAAUACCCGCUGAACUUAAGCAUAUCAAUAAGCGGAGGA
rnacentral:misc_RNA from 1 species